rnacentral:rRNA from 1 species
AGCAGCCGCGGUAAUUCCAGCUCCAAUAGCGUAUAUUAAAGUUGUUGCAGUUAAAAAGCUCGUAGUUGAAUUUCGAGAUCAAAUUGUUGGUCGUGCCUCGGUACGUACUGGCAUUAUUGAUUUCUCCUUUCUGAAGAACCUUGAUGUCAUUAAUUUGGUGUCUUGGGGAAUCAGGACCGUUACUUUGAAAAAAUUAGAGUGUUUAAAGCAGGCUCACGCUUGAAUACAUUAGCAUGGAAUAAUGAAAUAGGACGUUUGAUUCUAUUUUGUUGGUUUCUAGGAUCGACGUAAUGAUUAAUAGGGAUAGUUGGGGGCAUUAGUAUUCAAUUGUCAGAGGUGAAAUUCUUGGAUUUAUUGAAGACUAACUACUGCGAAAGCAUUUGCCAAGGAUGUUUUCAUUAAUCAAGAACGAAAGUUAGGGGAUCGAAGACGAUCAGAUAC